CGGCAUGUCUAGUAUAGCAUUAUACCGUGAAACUGCGAAUGGCUCAUUAAAUCAGUUAUCGUUUAUUUGAUAGUACCUUACUACUUGGAUACCCGUGGUAAUUCUAGAGCUAAUACAUGCUAAAAACCCCGACUUCGGGAGGGGUGUGUUUAUUAGAUAAAAAACCAACGCCCUUCGGGGCUCCUUGGUGAUUCAUGAUAACCUCUCAGAUCGCACGGCCUUGCGCCGGCGACGGUUCAUUCAAAUUUCUGCCCUAUCAACUUUCGAUGGUAAGGUAUUGGCUUACCAUGGUUUCAACGGGUAACGGGGAAUUAGGGUUCGAUUCCGGAGAGUGAGCCUGAGAAACGGCUCACACAUCCAAGGAAGGCAGCAGGCGCGCAAAUUACCCAAUCCCGACACGGGGAGGUAGUGACAAUAAAUACUGAUACAGGGCUCUUUUGGGUCUUGUAAUUGGAAUGAGUACAAUUUAAACCUCUUAACGAGGAACAAUUGGAGGGCAAGUCUGGUGCCAGCAGCCGCGGUAAUUCCAGCUCCAAUAGCGUAUAUUAAAGUUGUUGCAGUUAAAAAGCUCGUAGUUGAAUCUUUGGCCUGGCUGGCGGGUCCGCCUCACCGCGUGCACUUGUCCGGCCGGGCCUUCUCUUCUGGAGAACCGCAUGCCCUUCACUGGGCGUGUUGGGGACCAGGACUUUUACUUUGAAAAAAUUAGAGUGUUCAAAGCAGGCCUUUGCUCGAAUACGUUAGCAUGGAAUAAUAGAAUAGGACGUGCGGUCCUAUUUUGUUGGUUUCUAGGACCGCCGUAAUGAUUAAUAGGGACAGUCGGGGGCAUCAGUAUUCAAUUGUCAGAGGUGAAAUUCUUGGAUUUAUUGAAGACUAACUACUGCGAAAGCAUUUGCCAAGGAUGUUUUCAUUAAUCAGUGAACGAAAGUUAGGGGAUCGAAGACGAUCAGAUACCGUCGUAGUCUUAACCAUAAACUAUGCCGACUAGGGAUCGGGCGGUGUUAUCGAUUUGACCCGCUCGGCACCUUGCGAGAAAUCAAAGUGUUUGGGUUCUGGGGGAGUAGUC
rnacentral:rRNA from 1 species